rnacentral:rRNA from 1 species
AUACGGGAGGCAGCAGUAAGGAAUAUUGGUCAAUGGACGCAAGUCUGAACCAGCCAUGCCGCGUGAAGGAUGAAGGUCCUCUGGAUUGUAAACUUCUUUUAUAUGGGAAGAAAUCCAUCUUUUCUUGGGUGGUUGACGGUACCAUAGGAAUAAGCACCGGCUAACUCCGUGCCAGCAGCCGCGGUAAUACGGAGGGUGCAAGCGUUAUCCGGAUUCACUGGGUUUAAAGGGUGCGUAGGAGGGCAGGUAAGUCAGUGGUGAAAUCUCCAAGCUUAACUUGGAAACUGCCGUUGAUACUAUCUGUCUUGAAUACCGUGGAGGUGAGCGGAAUAUGUCAUGUAGCGGUGAAAUGCUUAGAUAUGACAUAGAACACCAAUUGCGAAGGCAGCUCGCUACACGAAUAUUGACUCUGAGGCACGAAAGCGUGGGGAUCAAACAGGAUUAGAUACCCCGGUAGG